rnacentral:rRNA from 1 species
UACAGAGGUCCCAAGCGUUGUUCGGAUUCACUGGGCGUAAAGGGUGCGUAGGUGGUCGGGUAAGUCUGAUGUGAAAUCUCCGAGCUCAACUCGGAAAUGGCAUUGGAUACUACUUGGCUAGAGGGUUGGAGGGGGGACUGGAAUACUUGGUGUAGCAGUGAAAUGCGUAGAUAUCAAGUGGAACACCAGUGGCGAAGGCAGGUCUCUGGGCUGACACUGACGCUCAUGCACGAAAGCGUGGGGAGCAAACAGG